GUGUGGGUGGCUCAGAGGUUAGAGCCUAGGGCUGGUAACCGAAAGGUCCCGAGUUCGAACCUCCCAAGAGG
rnacentral:tRNA from 1 species